UACAGAGGUCUCAAGCGUUGUUCGGAUUCAUUGGGCGUAAAGGGUGCGUAGGUGGCGCCGUAAGUCAGGUGUGAAAUCUCGGGGCUUAACUCCGAAACUGCAUUUGAUACUGCGGUGCUUGAGGACUGGAGAGGAGACUGGAAUUUACGGUGUAGCAGUGAAAUGCGUAGAUAUCGUAAGGAAGGCCGGUGGCGAAAGCGAGCCUCUGGACAGUUACUGACGCUGAUGCACGAAGGCCAGGGGAGCAAACGGG
rnacentral:rRNA from 1 species